rnacentral:sRNA from 1 species
GCAAGAUGGUGCCUACAGGCAGAUAUGAAACAGGUGGGCUGGCACCUGGGCACAGUGCUUGCCCCUGCUGCCUCUUCCCUCCCAGGUAUGGGAAAAGACACAAAGAGGAUACGCUGGCCUUCUCGGAGUGGGGGUCCCCACAUGCUGCUGUCCCCAGGUGAGUUUGACUCCCUGCCCUGUCUGUCCAGCUCCCUGGGGCUGAAAUGGGGGUGGUGGGACUGAAUCAGGGCUUGGAAAGGUGUAGUGGGGGGUGGAAGAGGGAGAACAGGAGCCCAGGGCCAGCCUGAGGCCUCCUGAGGGCACGAGGCCUACCCCCUACACUGCCAUGUUCUGCCCUGUCCUCACAGGGAGCUCAGCCCGCUGGACUUGUAAUGCCACCUUCUGUCUCCUACGACUCCAUGAGCAGCGCCAGCCCAGCUCUCCCCUCCGCACCCUUGGCUCUGGCCAAAGCUUGCUCCCUGCUCCCACACAGGCUCAAUAAAGCAAGUCAAAGCCA